AUUGAACGCUGGCGGCAUGCCUUACACAUGCAAGUCGAACGGCAGCACGGGUGCUUGCACCUGGUGGCGAGUGGCGAACGGGUGAGUAAUACAUCGGAACAUGUCCUGUAGUGGGGGAUAGCCCGGCGAAAGCCGGAUUAAUACCGCAUACGAUCUACGGCUGAAAGCGGGGGACCUUCGGGCCUCGCGCUAUAGGGUUGGCCGAUGGCUGAUUAGCUAGUUGGUGGGGUAAAGGCCUACCAAGGCGACGAUCAGUAGCUGGUCUGAGAGGACGAUCAGCCACACUGGGACUGAGACACGGCCCAGACUCCUACGGGAGGCAGCAGUGGGGAAUUUUGGACAAUGGGCGAAAGCCUGAUCCAGCAAUGCCGCGUGUGUGAAGAAGGCCUUCGGGUUGUAAAGCACUUUUGUCCGGAAAGAAAUCCUUGGCCCUAAUACGGUCGGGGGAUGACGGUACCGGAAGAAUAAGCACCGGCUAACUACGUG
rnacentral:rRNA from 1 species